GACCCAAUAUGGCAUCGUGGUUUGACCAUUAGACUGAGACUCUGGAGACCAGGGUUCAAUUCCCAGCUCGGCCA